GGCCAGGCCUGGGUCGCAGGUAGUGUGCUCUGGAGGACAGAGUGACCCCACAGUCUCUGGAUCAGGGCCCCAAGGAAGCAGGGGUGCAAGUAGCUUAAGGGGAAGGGAGACACCUAAACCAAAUUGGCUAAAAUUCAGGUGGAGAAGACAGUCCCUGGAGAGGUAUUUGUUUGAGGAGGUAAAGCAAGGAUUCUAGGGGUGACAAGGAGGUGACAGUGCCAUCAUGAUGACAGGGACAAGCAAGCCAGACACCGGGAGCGGCAGGCGCGUGAAGGGCAAGCCAAGCAGAGCGGGCCGGGAUGGGAGAGCACAGCGCCCCCUGGAGGCGGAUGUCGGCCACGCACCGCCACCGAGCAGGUCUGGCAGGAGAGAGGAAGGAGAAAUCCAGCCUGGAGCUGCUGGGGGGCGGAAAAGACCAGGGUUCGAGCCUGGCCAGAGAGGAGAGACUUAGCAGACGCCGAGCUGCGGCUGGAGAUCAGGCCAGCAGCCCCGGCCUCCAGGGAGAGCACACGGCGCCAGCGGGAGCUGCAGAGCCCGGUCCAGCCGCACGGGGUCUCCGCCUCCCGGGCGCGGCCGCCUAGGGUCACCCCGCCACCCCGCCACCCCACGGCGAUCGCGCCACCCGGCCCGACGACGUCACUGCUGCUCUGACGCGCGCGAAUGGAGGUGCGGGCGCGGGGUGGCGGCCUGCGGGAGGCGAGUCCCUGGCCCUCCUCCAGGGGGAACCUCGGUUCCCCAAUCUCGGGGAGCCCAGCUGUCCUCCAGACGCAGCUAAGGACGCGAGCGCAGGGUGCAAAUUCCCUAGCAGAGACCGGCCCCAGCAAGGAGACCAAUGCUAACCGCUCCCUGGAGCUCUGCUCGCAAGUUCCGGGCCCUUGGGGACAAUAAUAACCACAACGGACGCGACAGCCACCAUUAUUCAGCGCUCCCUCUGUGCCCCGCACCGAGCCCAGCGCUUUGCAGGCGGUCACGCUCAGAGGUGGAAAGUGUUGACUAAGGAAGGAGUAGAUAGAUGGAAGAAAAAAAAAUCACAAUAGCUACACAGUACCAUGUGCUUGUUUGUGGGUUGAGCUGAAAACAACAGAGCCAGAACUGAGUCCUGACUCCUUCAUCCUCACUACUGCUCUGAGAGGGGUGUGUGUGUGUGUGUGUGUUUACUCUCCUUUAAUGGAGGAGGUCACCAGGCUGGUAAGUGACAAAGCUAAAAAUUCACAAAUAUAUAUAUAUAUAUGUAUGUAUAUAUCGGCAGCCCUGCUCUCAUCACCCACAAAGGGAGGGGCUGGUACACAUGACUGGGAGAGGUAAGCUACAAGCCAUAGCAAAAACAACCCAAACUCAACUCUUGAUGUGAUUUCAGACACCACGUAUGAAUUAGGGAUCCUAGUAGUUUCCAGAGCUCCAAUUUUGGACUAAAUUGUGAAGAAGGAGGAGGGCAAGGAAGAGGAGUAGGGGGAGGGGGAAGGAGAGGAAGAGGAAGGAAGAAAAAUAGAACCCAAAGGUGCAAUGGAAAGAGAAUGAGAACUAGGGUUGUAACUUUCCCUUGAAAGAGCUCCUGGUAGGGCAGAUCCGGCCACACAAAGCUGAGCACACACGUUACAAUAUGCAAGGAUCUGGGUUCAAGCCUCCAGUCCCCAUGUGCAGGGGGAAAGUUUAAGUAGUGCUGCAGGUGUCUCUCGUUCUCUCUCCCUCUCUAUCUUUCCUUCCUUCUCAUUUCUGUCUUUAUCCAAGAAAUAAAUUGAUUGAUUGAUUGAAAGAAAGAGGGAGGAAGAGAGAGAGAGAUUGCACCUAGAGAGACCCACUCACUUUCCGUGGCUGGGCUCUGAAAAAUAGAGGUGAUUCUAGGAAAGUCUGAAGAGUGUGUGUGGGGGGGAGAAUAUCCCUCCUGUGGUUACCCAAACCUCAUUCUGCUAUUUAUGUUUCACGUUAAAAUGAAGGUGACUCUCUCCACCCUUCAAACUGGCAUGUAAACAGCCAAAACAAGAGGCAGGCCAGCUACAGCCUUCAUAUGUGGUCAGUUUCUCAGGAAGGAUGUACAUCACUUGAAGUGGAAAUGAGGAUUAAAUGAGGUGCCUCAAACAUCUCCACGACAGACUUUCCACCAGGAAUUUAGAUCAUAAGCCCUCAGAAAGGGAGCUUUGUCUACAUGUGGGCUGGGUAUAGUGUCUAAAAUCUGUGUUUUCCCAAUAAAUGUGGAAAAAUAAAUCACA